rnacentral:rRNA from 1 species
GGGUUGUGAGGUUAAGCGACUAAGCGUACACGGUGGAUGCCCUGGCAGUCAGAGGCGAUGAAGGACGUGCUAAUCUGCGAUAAGCGUCGGUAAGGUGAUAUGAACCGUUAUAACCGGCGAUUUCCGAAUGGGGAAACCCAGUGUGAUUCGUCACACUAUCAUUAACUGAAUCCAUAGGUUAAUGAGGCGAACCGGGGGAACUGAAACAUCUAAGUACCCCGAGGAAAAGAAAUCAACCGAGAUUCCCCCAGUAGCGGCGAGCGAACGGGGAGCAGCCCAGAGCCUGAAUCAGUGUGUGUGUUAGUGGAAGCGUCUGGAAAGGCGCGCGAUACAGGGUGACAGCCCCGUACACAAAAAUGCACAUACUGUGAGCUCGAUGAGUAGGGCGGGACACGUGGUAUCCUGUCUGAAUAUGGGGGGACCAUCCUCCAAGGCUAAAUACUCCUGACUGACCGAUAGUGAACCAGUACCGUGAGGGAAAGGCGAAAAGAACCCCG